AACGAACGCUGGCGGCAGGCCUAACACAUGCAAGUCGAACGCUCCGCAAGGGGAGUGGCGCACGGGUGAGUAACACGUGGGAACCUACCUUCUGGUACGGAACAACCAAGGGAAACUUUGGCUAAGACCGUAUACGACCUCCGGGUGAAAGAUUGAUCGCCGGAAGAGGGGCCCGCGUCCGAUUAGGUAGUUGGUGAGGUAACGGCUCACCAAGCCUUCGAUCGGUAGCUGGUCUGAGAGGAUGACCAGCCACACUGGGACUGAGACACGGCCCAGACUCCUACGGGAGGCAGCAGUGGGGAAUCUUGCGCAAUGGGCGAAAGCCUGACGCAGCGACGCCGCGUGAGGGAUGACGGCCUGGUGUAA
rnacentral:rRNA from 1 species